UUAAUUGAGAGUUUGAUCCUGGCUCAGGAUGAACGCUGGCGGCGUGCCUAACACAUGCAAGUCGAACGAAGUCAUAUGUGAAGUUUUCGGAUGGAAUAUAAGACUUAGUGGCGGACGGGUGAGUAACACGUAAGUAAUCAACCUAUAACACACGAAUAACUAAUAGAAAUGUUAGCUAAUACGAGAUAAAAUAUAUGAUAUGGGAAUAUUGUAUAUCAAAG
rfam:Peptoanaerobacter stomatis strain OBRC8 ctg120007290658, whole genome shotgun sequence.